AUUGAACGCUGGCGGCAGGCCUAACACAUGCAAGUCGAACGAGUGGCGGACGGGUGAGUAAUGUCGGGGAAACUGCCGGAUGGAGGGGGAUAACUACUGGAAACGGUAGCUAAUACCGCAUACCAUCGGAUGUGCUCAGAUGGGAUUAGCUAGUAGGUGGGGUAAAGGCUCACCUAGGCGACGAUCCCUAGCUGGUCUGAGAGGAUGACCAGCCACUCUGGAACUGUGCCCAGGUGCAGACUCCUACUGGAGGCCACGGUGGUGACUAUUGCCCACUGGACGCAAGCCUGAUGCAGCCAUGCCAUGUGUAUGAAGAGGGCCUUCGGGUUGUAAAGUCCUUUCAGCGGGGAGACGUUACCCGCAGAAGAAACACCGGCUAACUCCGUGCCAGCAGCCGCGGUAAUAC
rnacentral:rRNA from 1 species